UACGUAGGGGGCUAGCGUUGUCCGGAUUUAUUGGGCGUAAAGAGCGUGUAGGCGGCCAGGUAGGUCCGUUGUGAAAACUCGAGGCUCAACCUCGAGACGCCGGUUGAAACCAUCUGGCUAGAGUCCGGAAGAGGAGAGUGGAAUUCCUGGUGUAGCGGUGAAAUGCGCAGAUAUCAGGAAGAACACCCGUGGCUAAGGCGGCUCUCUAGUACGGUACUGACGCUGAGACGCGAAAGCGUGGGGAGCGAACAGG
rnacentral:rRNA from 1 species